rnacentral:rRNA from 1 species
ACUGCUCAGUAACACGUGGAUAACCUGCCCUUAGGUUUGGCAUAACUCCGGGAAACUGGAGAUAAUUCCGAAUAGGUCAAAUAUGCUGGAAUGCUUUUUGGCCAAAAGACUUCGGUUGCCUAAGGAUGGAUCUGCGGUCUAUCAGGUAGUAGUGGGUGUAACGUACCUACUAGCCUACGACGGAUAUGGGUUGUGAGAGCAAGAGCCCAGAGAUGGAUUCUGAGACAUGAAUCCAGGCCCUACGGGGCGCAGCAGGCGCGAAAACUUUACAAUGCGGGAAACCGCGAUAAGGGGACACCGAGUGCCAGCAUUUAUGUUGGCUGUCCACAUGUGUAAACGGCAUGUGUUAGCAAGGGCCGGGCAAGACCGGUGCCAGCCGCCGCGGUAACACCGGCGGCCCGAGUGGUAAUCACUUUUAUUGGGUCUAAAGGGUCCGUAGCCGGUUUGAUCAGUUCUUCGGGAAAUCUGACAGCUCAACUGUUAGGCUUCCGGGGAAUACUGUCAGACUUGGGACCGGGAGAGGUAAGAGGUACUACAGGGGUAGGAGUGAAAUCUUGUAAUCCCUGUGGGACCACCAGUGGCGAAGGCGUCUUACCAGAACGGGUCCGACGGUGAGGGACGAAAGCUGGGGGCACGAACCGGAUUAGAUACCCGGGUAGUCCCAGCCGUAAACGAUGUUCGCUAGGUGUCAGGGGCGGUGCGACCGCUUCUGGUGCCGUAGGGAAGCCGUGAAGCGAACCACCUGGGAAGUACGGCCGCAAGGCUGAAACUUAAAGGAAUUGGCGGGGGAGCACUACAACGGGUGGAGCCUGCGGUUUAA